rnacentral:rRNA from 2 species
ACGGGAGGCAGCAGUGGGGAAUAUUGGGCAAUGGAGGCAACUCUGACCCAGCAAUGCCGCGUGAGCGAUGAAGGUAAUUUUAUUGUAAAGCUCUUUUCUGAGGGACGAAUCAAGUGACGGUACCUCAGGAAUAAGCCCCGGCUAACUACGUGCCAGCAGCCGCGGUAAUACGUAGGGGGCGAGCGUUGUCCGGAAUGACUGGGCGUAAAGGGUGUGUAGGUGGUUUGAUAAGUUAGAAGUGUAAUACCCAGGGCUUAACUCGGGUGCUGCUUCUAAAACUGUUAGACUUGAGUACUGGAGAGGAUAGUGGAAUUCCUAGUGUAGCGGUGGAAUGCGUAGAUAUUAGGAGGAACAUCAGUGGCGAAGGCGACUAUCUGGACAGCAACUGACACUGAGGCACGAAAGCGUGGGGAGCAAACAGGAUUAGAUACCCUGGUA